CAGGCUGNAACCCGCCUGCAUGAAGUCGGAAUUGCUAGUAAUCGCGGAUCAGCAUGCCGCGGUGAAUACGUUCCCGGGCCUUGUACACACCGCCCGUCACACCAUGGGAGCCGGUAAUACCCGAAGUCAGUAGUCCAACCUCGUGAGGACGCUGCCGAAGGUAGGAUUGGCGACUGGGGUGAAGUCGUAACAAGGUAAC
rnacentral:rRNA from 1 species